rnacentral:misc_RNA from 1 species
GAUGAAGAACGCAGCGAAAUGCGAUAAGUAAUGUGAAUUGCAGAAUUCAGUGAAUCAUCGAAUCUUUGAACGCACAUUGCGCCCCCUGGUAUUCCGGGGGGCAUGCCUGUCCGAGCGUCAUUGCUGCCCAUCAAGCACGGCUUGUGUGUUGGGUCCCGUCCCCCUCUCCCGGGGGACGGACCCGAAAGGCAGCGGCGGCACCGCGUCCGGUCCUCGAGCGUAUGGGGCUUUGUCACCCGCUCUUGUAGGCCCGGCCGGCGCUUGCCGACACCCAACCAUUUUUUUCAGGUUGACCUCGGAUCAGGUAGGGAUACCCGCUGAACUUAAGCAUAUCAAUAAGCGGAGGA